rnacentral:tRNA from 1 species
CAGGGGGACAAAUAAUUGAUUGUGAUGUCUAAGUAAUUCAAUCUUAGGCCGCAAUCCUGUCACCUUAGGUCGAUCGGUACCUCAGAUUUUUGAAUUAAUUUUAUAAUUAAUCCUUUAAUGUCAGUUCCUAAACUUGUCUAGGCCACACCCAACAAGGGUUUCUCCUGGGCCAUUAGCUCAGGUGGUUAGAGCGCACCCCUGAUAAGGGUGAGGUCCCUGGUUCAAGUCCAGGAUGGCCCAUUCGUUGUUGGGGGUAUAGCUCAGUUGGUAGAGCGCCUGCUUUGCAAGCAGGAUGUCAGCGGUUCGAGUCCGCUUACCUCCACUGAAAACUACCCUGAUAACUACAAUUCAGGAGGAAAUUUGUAAAUGUGACUUAGAGUUGACUACUUAAUAUAGAACCUAGCUUCUUGUCAUCUUUUUUUAUAGUUGAUAAUAUGCUGGGCUCACAUGGAAUUAUUUCCAUGAGAAUUCAGUAGAACCUUGAAAACUGCAUAGAUAGAAAGAAUAAAGCAUCUCAUGGAUGCAUAAUUCUAGAUUGAAAAUUAGGCAUUAGCUUACUUUUCAAUAUUAGAGUUCAUGUCUAAUUCUUGAGUAAAAGCCAAGCACAAUUAAUUUUGUGAUUGUAUUUAA